AACGCACAUUGCGCCCCCUGGUAUUCCGGGGGCAUGCCUGUUCGAGCGUCAUUUCACCACUCAAGCCUCGCUUGGUAUUGGGCGACGCGGUCCGCCGCGCGCCUCAAAUCGACCGGCUGGGUCUUUCGUCCCCUCAGCGUUGUGGAAACUAUUCGCUAAAGGGUGCCGCGGGAGGCCACGCCGUAAAACAACCCCAUUUCUAAGGUUGACCUCGGAUCAGGUAGGGAUACCCGCUGAACUUAA
rnacentral:misc_RNA from 1 species